GGUCUUUUAGCUCAGUUGGUUAGAGCGUGGUGCUAAUAAAGUUAUGCACGCCAAGGUCACAGGUUCGACCCCUGUAAGGACCA
rnacentral:tRNA from 1 species